rnacentral:rRNA from 1 species
CAGUAACGGCGAGUGAAGCGGGAUCAGCCCAGCGCCGAAUCCGCCGCGGCCUACAGCCCGGCCGGAACUGUGGCGUGCGGGACGUGGCCAGUCGGUCGGGAGCGUACCCGAGUCCCCCCGAGCGGGGCCCAUCCCAUAGCGGGUGCCAGGCCUCUGCAGGUACGCAUCCGACCGGCCGCUGCCGUCCCCGGAGUCGGGUCGCUUGGGAAUGCAGCCCGAAGCGGGUGGUAAACUCCACCUAAGGCUAA